UAGACCAGAAGCGAGAAUGUUGACAUGAGUAGCGACAAACAGGGUGAGAAACCCUGUCGCCGAAAGUCCAAGGGUUCCUGCUUAAAGCUAAUCUGAGCAGGGUAAGCCGGCCCCUAAGGCGAGGCCGAAAGGCGUAGUCGAUGGGAACCAGGUUAAUAUUCCUGGGCCAGUGGGAUGUGACGGAUCGCAGAUGUAGUUUGCCCUUAUCGGAUUGGGUGGGCUGCUGAGCGGUUCCAGGAAAUAGCCCCACAUCAGACCGUACCCUAAACCGACACAGGUGGACUGGUAGAGUAUACCAAGGCGCUUGAGAGAACCACGUUAAAGGAACUCGGCAAAAUGCCUCCGUAAGUUCGCGAGAAGGAGGCCCCAUAUGUACGCAAGUAUGUGUGGGGGGCACAAACUAGGGGGUGGCGACUGUUUACUUAAAACACAGGGCUGUGCGAAGCCGUAAGGCGACGUAUACAGUCUGACGCCUGCCCGGUGCUGGAAGAUUAAGAGGAGGGGUGCAAGCUCUGAAUUGAAGUCCCAGUAAACGGCGGCCGUAACAAUAACGGUCCUAAGGUAGCGAAAUUCCUUGUCGGGUAAGUUCCGACCUGCACGAAUGGCGUAACGAUCUCCCCGCUGUCUCUAACGUGGACUCAGCGAAAUUGAACUGUGUGUCAAGAUGCACACUACCCGCGGUUAGACGGAAAGACCCCAUGAACCUUUACUCCAGCUUUGCACUGGUAUCAGGAUUGUGAUGUGCAGGAUAGGUGGUAGGCAUUGAAGCGGGGACGCCAGUCUUCGUGGAGCCUCCCUUGAGAUACCACCCUUCGCCAUCUUGAUAUCUAACCGCGGCCCGUUAUCCGGGUCCGGGACCCUGCAUGGUGGGGAGUUUGACUGGGGCGGUCGCCUCCCAAACAGUAACGGAGGCGCGCGAUGGUUGGUUCAGACCGGUCGGAAAUCGGUCGUUGAGUGCAAUGGCAGAAGCCAGCCUGACUGCAAGACUGACAAGUCGAGCAGAGACGAAAGUCGGUCAUAGUGAUCCGGUGGUCCCAAGUGGGAGGGCCAUCGCUCAACGGAUAAAAGGUACUCUGGGGAUAACAGGCUGAUGAUGCCCAAGAGUCCAUAUCGACGGCAUCGUUUGGCACCUCGAUGUCGGCUCAUCUCAUCCUGGGGCUGGAGCAGGUCCCAAGGGUAUGGCUGUUCGCCAUUUAAAGAGGUACGUGAGCUGGGUUUAGAACGUCGUGAGACAGUUCGGUCCCUAUCUGCCGUGGGUGCAGGAGACUUGAGAAGAGUUGACCCUAGUACGAGAGGACCGGGUUGAACGAACCACUGGUGGACCAGUUAUCGUGCCAACGGUAGUGCUGGGUAGCUAUGUUCGGACAGGAUAACCGCUGAAGGCAUCUAAGCGGGAAGCCCCCUUCAAAACAAGGUCUCCCUUGAGGGCCGUGGAAGACGACCACGUCGAUAGGCCAGAGGUGUAAGUGCAGCAAUGCAUUCAGCUGACUGGUACUAAUUGCUC
rnacentral:rRNA from 1 species